AAGAUUUGAUGUCUGUGUGUCUUCCGAUAGGGUUCGUCUAUAUUUUGACAGAUACAUUUCUCGAAUUUAGUGUUGAAGCAGCGAUACGAGAAGAUAAAAGCUAAAAACAAGAAAAUAUAAAGAAAUUUGUGCGAGCAAAAUGGAACAACCAAAUGAAAAAUCUGAUGGGAAGAAAAAUGAAAGCGACCAAGGGACUUCAUCAGGGCAGGACGGAUGGAGCUUUACUGCACAGUAUCGUGAAACAGUGUUCAUUGAGAUUCAACGUAAAGAAAUCACCGCCGAAAGUAUGUCCAAGCGGUUGAAUGAAGAAGGAUAUGAGUGUGAGGUGACAAUUAAAUAUGACCCAAAAUCAGGAAAGAAUAGCGGUGCAUUGGAAUUCGUAGAUGAACAGACAGCGAAGGCGUUUUGCGAGAAACGCGAUUUUGUUCAAGACGGUGUUGUCAAACCGCGCUGUGCUUCGUCAUCGUCAGAUUCAUCAGUUGAAACUGGAUCUACAUCUGUACCGUCCACCGAAUCCAGUGACAGGUAUAUCAUUGUACAAACACCCAAAAAUUCAUCUCUUUUGAAAUCGUGUUUGAACAAUAACGCGUUUAAACAACGUCAUCCAAUACACUCUUUCGUAUCAUCGAACAAAAAGGGUGGAAUCACUGUUAAACGUAUGUUCCAAAUCGAUUGAGUCUCUAGUCUCCUUUUUACAAAGAUCUUCAUCCCUCAGCUAAAUGACAUGUGGGAACAUGGACGAAUGACGUUGUUGACGAUCUUGUUAAACUCGGCUAUUACACCAAGAUUAACAGAAGCAAAAAAGAGAUAUCUCUUCGUUAAAUAUUAUUCAUUUGAACAAAUAAAGUUAAUCAGUUUCAAUUUACCAAAAUUCAAAUUAAAAAGAUAUUUAUUCGAUGCAAAGUGUUUCCAUUCAAGGGAGUAUGUUUCGAAAAUGUUGACAAUCUCAUGUUUACAUGUUUACAUCAGAACGGUGAAUGUUUUCUCCUAUUUGCGCGUAAAUAAAUUCUGUCAUUUCCAACCAAAAAAAAACAUUAUGCAUGCUCGAACAAAACCCAGUUAAAGUGUUGCGCUAUUGAAGGAAAUGUGUAAUUAUUUCAAGUUUUUUUUUCGUUUCUAAUUCUCUCUUCACAUUUUGUGAUUAAUUGGAGAGCAUGUAAUGUGGUAGUUAACUUGCUGCCAAAAGUCAAAACAUAAUUGAAGUGUUAUUAAUUAAUUUGAUCUCAUAGUUUCGUCAAUUUAUGUUAUGCGUUACAUUUCAACCGUGAGAUUCAUUUAUUUUUUUUCUUCUUUCGUUUAUUAAUUUCAACGCCUUAUUUAUGUACUACUACCUACUAUAUUUCGUCCCCAAUCUAUCUCGUUUGUAUUUAGUUAUAAUUUUCUCUUGCAAAUUUUAUUGUACAAAUUUAAAACGAAAGAAGCAUCGAUGAAACAGAUUAUAGUGAUUAAAUUAUUAUGAAACCAAACAAUCAAAACAA